rnacentral:lncRNA from 1 species
UUUAAUUAAAACAAAAUUAAAUCACACACAAACACACACAAGGUGUGUGCUACGAUCGAACAGGAGAAAGGAAAAAGGGGGUGUGAACCCUAAACCUCAAGAAAUCAUCAAAUUGAAAAGGGAAUCAAGGGCUGAUUGUAUGCAUGAACCAAGGAUGAUGAUCCCUUAAGCAUUUCUAACAUCAACGUAGGAGCCAUGUCAACAUGGACACGAGCAUGGAAGGGCAAUGGGUCAACGGUAAAUACGGAAGCUAUGCAUGAACUCGGACGCACGAGGUAGCGUUAGUUAAUUGAGCAUGGUGAUGAUUGAAGUUUGAUAUGGUUUUGGUUGUAUGAAAUCGGUUAUUUUAGCUAAGUAGACCGAACGGGACAAUAUAAAGUUGUAAUGAUAUGACAGAUUGAUGUAAUGCUACGGUAUUGUAACCGAGUAAUGGGUAGAAUUGCACAUAAGUGCGCCAACCGAGAAUGGGGACUUAGGUUAAUGGUCAAAAGACUUAGCUUUUGACCUUAAAUAAAAGAAUGGUUUAACAAAAUACGAACAGGUCGAAUAAAUGUGCAUAAACUUCAUAAUGCUAAUGAAAUGCGUAAAGAUUAAGGACCCGGGUAAGGGCGUUUAGCCCAUAAUGUAAGGACAAGUCUUACGGACAACUAGAAAUAAUUGUGAGCAAUUUGAUUGAGGAAUGUCCGAGAUACGCAAGUUUUAAUAAUAAAAAUAUGAAUGGGUUGAAUAGUCGAAACGAGUAUGUAGAGCCGAAGGCUUUAAGUUAAGAUUUUUCCUUGUUUGGAUGUUAUAUUACAAGCUCAUAUGUUAGAAAAUCGAUUUACCAACGCAUAGGAAAAAGAAUCAUGUUAAUCGGAUUCGUAGAUCAAAAGUUAUGCAAAUUGUAAGUCGAAAAUACCCUUGGAAUUCAUAGCUGGGAAUUUACAGCAGCAAAUUGGAAGUUUCUGUCGAAAUAGAGCUGUCGCGCCCCGCGAGCGCCAGUCAGCUGGCAAAUUUUGGUUUUCUUGUUUGAUUUUGCAUCCGGACUCGAUGUUUUAAUGAUUUUCGAUGUCCCUUAACUUAUAUUAAAGCCGGUUUGAAACACGAGUGAUGUUAUGAGCCUCCGGAUAAUGAAAGUAUGUAUUUUUUUUCGUGUUAGAGAAGAAAGAUUAUAAGUAAUCGAGACUAGAAAUGAGUGGGCAUGCAGUAUGGUAAGUAUAAAACUUAUAUCACGGAAGUUGCGAUUAUGAUAAGAAAUGCGAGAUUAAGUGAAUAAAAGUAGUAAGAGAGGGCUCGCGUCUAUGUGUGUGUAUGUGAAUGUGUGCGUAUGUAUGUAGGUGUAUAUGUUGUAUGUAUGUAGGAAUUAGGAACGUAUACGUUUGUGGAUGCGAGAUGUUAUAAGUAUAUGAAGGAAUGGUUUGGACUGGUUUCAUUAUGUUCUAGCAUUAAUGUUUGCUAAUCGUGUGUUUGAGAUUGGAAUGAAAUGCAGGUACAUGAACACCGGGUUCAUGAAGUAUCGAAGUCGAAUUCGGAACAAGAAAAUACGAAAGGAUAGUUGAAUGAAUUAAAGUUCCUACUGUUAAAUGUUAUUCAAUAUUGGACUAUAUGAGAAUCAUGUCGUAUGAUAUUGUUAAUGACUAAUGGUUAUGAUGUAUGCGAUGUCCACAGGUGUUGCACGGAUUACCGCUACUACUACCGAAGAUAAGCAAGUGUUGAUCGAGUCACGGAGCAAGGGUUGUACGGAAAUAUGUAUUGUCUUGAAGCGUUAAUUUAAUGUGGUUAUUGUAAAUCCCUUUUGUAAAUGUUUAUCAUUUGUAUUUGAGCCUUCAAGUAAGUAAUGUGUCUAAAUAAGAAAGAAAUUUUUGGGCUCGUAUUUUUCCGCUGUGUUAUAUUUAAGUUCUUACAAGUUGGUCUUACAGGGAAUCGUUCAUUAUACGAACGGGUCAUGCCCGAAUUUUGUAAAUAAUAAUACUUAUUU